GAGGAAAGAGGGAGGCGGGCUGAACACAUGCAAGUCGAACGGAAAGGCUCCAGCUUGCUGGAGUACUCGAGUGGCGAACGGGUGAGUAACACGUGGGUAAUCUGCCCUGCACUCUGGGAUAAGCCUGGGAAACUGGGUCUAAUACUGGAUAUGACCUUUCUCCUUAUGGGGUUCGGUGGAAAGUUCUUCGGUGUAGGAUGAGCCCGCGGCCUAUCAGCUUGUUGGUGGGGUGAUGGACUACCAAGGCGACGACGGGUAGCCGGCCUGAGAGGGUGAUCGGCCACAUUGGGACUGAGAUACGGCCCAGACUCCUACGUGAGGCAGCAGUGGGGAAUAUUGCACAAUGGGCGGAAGCCUGAUGCAGCGACGCCGCGUGAGGGAUGACGGCCUUCGUGUUGUAAACCUCUUUCAGCAGGGACGAAGCGUAAGUGACGGUACCUGCAGAAGAAGCACCGGCUAACUAUGUG
rnacentral:rRNA from 1 species